CAUGCCGCGUGCAGGAUGAAUGCCCUAUGGGUUGUAAACUGCUUUUAUAUACCAAGAAACCNUCGGACGUGUCCGAGGCUGACGGUAGUAUAUGAAUAAGGACCGGCUAACUCCGUGCCAGCAGCCGCGGUAAUACGGAGGGUCCAAGCGUUAUCCGGAUUUAUUGGGUUUAAAGGGUUCGUAGGCGGGGUAUUAAGUCAGUGGUGAAAGCCCACAGCUCAACUGUGGAACUGCCAUUGAUACUGGUACUCUUGAGUAUAGUAGAAGUUAGCGGAAUGUGUCAUGUAGCGGUGAAAUGCUUAGAUAUGACCCAGAACACCGAUUGCGAAAGCAGCUAACUAUGUUAUUACUGACGCUGAGGAACGAAAGCGUGGGGAGCGAACAGGAUUAGAUACCCUGGUAGUCCACGCCGUAAACGAUGAUUACUCGAUAUUGGCUUCGGUCAGUGUCCAAGCGAAAGUGAUAAGUAAUCCACCUGGGGAGUACGCUCGCAAGAGUGA
rnacentral:rRNA from 1 species